UACGGAGGGUGCAAGCGUUAUCCGGAUUCACUGGGUUUAAAGGGUGCGUAGGUGGGAAUGUAAGUCAGUGGUGAAAUCUCCGUGCUUAACAUGGAAACUGCCAUUGAUACUAUGUUUCUUGAAUUUUCUGGAGGUAAGCGGAAUAUGUCAUGUAGCGGUGAAAUGCUUAGAUAUGACAUAGAACACCAAUUGCGAAGGCAGCUUGCUUCAGGGAUAUUGACACUGAGGCACGAAAGCGUGGGGAUCAAACAGG
rnacentral:rRNA from 1 species